CCUACGGGAGGCAGCAGUCGAGAAUCAUUCACAAUGGGGGCAACCCUGAUGGUGCGACGCCGCGUGGGGGAAUGAAGGUCUUCGGAUUGUAAACCCCUGUCAUGUGGGAGCAAAUUAAAAAGAUAGUACCACACGAGGAAGAGACGGCUAACUCUGUGCCAGCAGCCGCGGUAAUACAGAGGUCUCAAGCGUUGUUCGGAAUCACUGGGCGUAAAGCGUGCGGAGGCUGUUUCGUAAGUCGUGUGUGAAAGGCGCGGGCUCAACCCGCGGACGGCACAUGAUACUGGGAGACUAGAGUAAUGGAGGGGGAACCGGAAUUCUCGGUGUAGCAGUGAAAUGCGUAGAUAUCGAGAGGAACACUCGUGGCGAAGGCGGGUUCCUGGACAUUAACUGACGCUGAGGCACGAAGGCCAGGGGAGCGAAAGGGAUUAGAUACCCCUGUAGUC
rnacentral:rRNA from 1 species